AUUGAACGCUGGCGGCAGGCCUAACACAUGCAAGUCGAGCGGAUGAAGGGAGCUUGCUCCUGGAUUCAGCGGCGGACGGGUGAGUAAUGCCUAGGAAUCUGCCUGGUAGUGGGGGAUAACGUCCGGAAACGGGCGCUAAUACCGCAUACGUCCUGAGGGGGAAAGUGGGGGAUCUUCGGACCUCACGCUAUCAGAUGAGCCUAGGUCGGAUUAGCUAGUUGGUGGGGUAAAGGCCUACCAAGGCGACGAUCCGUAACUGGUCUGAGAGGAUGAUCAGUCACACUGGAACUGAGACACGGUCCAGACUCCUACGGGAGGCAGCAGUGGGGAAUAUUGGACAAUGGGCGAAAGCCUGAUCCAGCCAUGCCGCGUGUGUGAAGAAGGUCUUCGGAUUGUAAAGCACUUUAAGUUGGGAGGAAGGGCAGUAAGUUAAUACCUUGCUGUUUUGACGUUACCAACGGAAUAAGCACCGGCUAACUUCGUG
rnacentral:rRNA from 1 species